rnacentral:rRNA from 1 species
UACGUAGAAGACUAGUGUUAUUCAUCUUUAGUAGGUUUAAAGGGUACCUAGACGGUAUUACUAGCCCAAAUAGGGUACGGUAUUGCUAGAGUUUAUUAUGAGAAGGGGAGUAUUCAUGGAGUAGAGAUAAAAUUUUUUUUUUUUGAUACCAUGACGACUGGCAGCGGCGAAAGCAACCUUUUAUUUAAUAACUAGACGUUGAGGAACGAAGGCUUGGGGUAGUCAAACA